rnacentral:rRNA from 1 species
UACGUAGGGGGCUAGCGUUGUCCGGAUUUAUUGGGCGUAAAGAGCGUGUAGGCGGCCAGGUGGGUCUGCUGUGAAAACUCGAGGCUCAACCUCGAGACGUCGGCGGAAACCAUCUGGCUAGAGUCCGGAAGAGGAGAGUGGAAUUCCUGGUGUAGCGGUGAAAUGCGCAGAUAUCAGGAAGAACACCCGUGGCGAAGGCGGCUCUCUGGGACGGUACUGACGCUGAGACGCGAAAGCGUGGGGAGCGAACAGG